rnacentral:lncRNA from 13 species
GUGCCCUGCUUACACACAGCUGGCUGAGCAGAGUGGUGAGGCUGCAGGUCUACGUAGUGAGCUGUCCCGCCUGCAGCAGAGGAGCUCCCAGCUGUCAGAGGAGAGAGGGGGCCAGGAGGAGAGGACCAGGCAGCUGGCUGCAGAGCUCCACAGACUACGUACUACCAGCAGACACUGGACGAGACUCGGUCCUGUGAGGGCAGGCUGGCAGAGCUGAGUGCCUAGCUGGGGAGGUCUCAGUGCUGGGGCCAGGAGAAGCUGGUAGCCCUGGAGAAGGUGGUGUUGAUUAAGGUGGAGAUGGCUUCUCUCAGGGAGAACUACCAUGCCAAGGUGGCCCAGGUGGAGGCCUUACACUCACAGCACGAUUCCAUGGAGCACAAGUACAGCACAGCAGCUAAUGAGGUAGUGAACCCUUAAAAUCUCCAGAUAUGUCAGAUAGACACUGUUAGAGUUGUAGACUCUCAUUACACUCUCUCUCUCUCUCUCCCCCCCCCCCCCCCCCCC